GAUCCUGGCUCAGGAUGAACGCUGGCGGCGUGCCUAACACAUGCAAGUCGAACGAAGCACUUCUCUUGGAGAUUCGUCAAAGAGGGAUUUGACUUAGUGGCGGACGGGUGAGUAAUGUAUGAGCAACCUGCCUUUCAGAGGGGGACAACAGUUGGAAACGACUGCUAAUACCGCAUAAUGUAUUUAGGGGGGCAUCCCCUGGAUACCAAAGGAGCAAUCCGCUGAAAGAUGGGCUCAUAUCUGAUUAGUUAGUUGGCAGGGUAACGGCCUACCAAGACUGCGAUCAGUAGCCGGACUGAGAGGUUGAACGGCCACAUUGGGACUGAGAUACGGCCCAGACUCCUACGGGAGGCAGCAGUGGGGAAUAUUGGGCAAUGGGCGAAAGCCCUGACCCAGCAACGCCGCGUGAAGGAAGAAGGUCUUCGGAUUGUAAACUUCUUUUAUGAGGGACGAAGGACGUGACGGUACCUCAUGAAUAAGCCACGGCUAACUACGUGCCAGCCGCAGC
rnacentral:rRNA from 1 species